UAAGAAAAGGAGGAUGUAGUGCUCAAAAAAUGCCCCAAAUCCCUAAGGAGUGCAUAAUUAACAUACUGGCAAAACAUUAAAAUUUAAUAUUCCUUAUUUCAGCCUUAUUCCAUCUUCCUGAGGGCAACACUCCAAUGUGGCCUGAGCAAUAUCCAUUCAUCCUGUGUGUCAGAGUGGCAGUGCUGUGAAGUAGCCACAAGCGGAGGUAAAAAUGAAGACGGCUUUUCAAAAUCUUGCUUACAGAGGGAAACGACUAGGUGACCAGUGUUGGACAGUGAGAAUUAAAUGGAAGCUAUUCAGUAGGGCUUCUGGGAAAGCUCCUUAAAAGAAUGCUGACUCAGUUUGGCACUUAGCCUUUAAUGGUUUUCCUGUUCUUUGGGAUGUUGAUGCAAUAGCCGGUGCAGCAGAAGCCUGUUGCCACAAUGAGACGACUCACUGAGGACGAAACCAGCUAAUAAAGAUGGCAAAGCAGAAAGAUAGAAUGAGCCUAAAAAAUAACGACAGUGAGGUUCCUUUAAGAUAGCUCUGGACUCCCCACUGCAGAAUUUUCUGUUAGGUAAGAGGAAGGGAAAAAAAAAAUCUGUCUUGCUUAAGCCUCUCCUGUUCUUUGUUAUUAAUAUAUGUAACUCCAGCUCUCACACCAUCUAUGUCCUAAGUCUGUGACUCAUAAGUCUCUCUUAGUUUUCAACUGAAAGCAUGCAUAAACUGUUCACCGUUACUGCAUCUCCACAUUUAACUUCACCUGCAAGCUCUCCAUUUCCAGUAAAUAAUACUGAUAACUUUUGUUUUCCCUUUUUCUUGCAAAAUUUGGUGACACAUACUAUUUAUUUGCAGGAAAAAAAACCUCUGACAUUUUCCCCUUGCUAUUCCAAUUGCUAAGCCAAGGGGACUUGCUGCCUACAAAUAAAGGGAGACAGGCAAGGUUGUGUGGCGAAGAUGCUGUUUGAGGCGGUCUUGGAGGAGGGCCAACCACUUGCAGAGUAAGGAUGAGCUGGAGCUCCUGGGGGCCCAGUCACCAUCUAAGAAGCCUGAAGAUGUUUCCAUUGCCAUCUCAUUAUCAGUUCCUUUCAGAACAACUGAAAGAAAGAAAAGACAGAUUUAUUCGCCGAAGCGAUGGAGAAGGAUAUUAGGACAAACGUCUAUGUGGAAAAAACAAUCCAACGUACGCAUUUCUUGGGUGAAAAGAUACACAGCGUUUUCAGAGGCUUUUCCCCCGCUCAUCUUAAUGAAGGUGAAUUAUUUAACACAGUUAAAUAAUCUCCAGUUUUCAAUUUAAUGAGACUUACCAGCCCUACGUUUGGCACAUUCUCUUCUAUUAAGCUUUCAGCUAAACCCCAGAGAUAAAAGGUGUUUUACUUCAAAGAAAUCUGAUUUGUUUUUUAUCUAGUAUAUUCAACUGGCAUAAAUUCAGGCAUACCACAUCAGACCUCAGUGAAAUCUGUGUUAGAAGUUUCCCUUUGUUUUCAAAGUCCUUAUAAAUAGCUUUCUUCCAAGCUAUACCUGGUCUUUGUGAACAGAAUGAGUAAGGUUUGAGUGUGUAGGUAAACACAUUUGUAGGAGUCUGUAGAUUUAGGGCCUGGGCUGUUAAGGCAGAUCUGGAAACUGUAAGAGAAUAGCUAAGUAAACUAAAAAAAUAUUAGAGAAUAGAUAGGUUUUUUUAAAAAAAUAGAAAGUCAGUUUAUCUAGAUGUGUGACCAUGACAAGUCCAGUUGUGCUCACUCGACUGAAAGGUCACUGUGUACUUUGGGGAUUCUGUGGGGUUCCCCCCCAAGCACUGCCGAUAGCAGACACAGCUGGGCAGGAG
rnacentral:lncRNA from 1 species